rnacentral:rRNA from 1 species
CCUACGGGCGGCAGCAGUGGGGAAUAUUGGACAAUGGGGGCAACCCUGAUCCAGCCAUGCCGCGUGUGUGAAGAAGGCCCUCGGGUUGUAAAGCACUUUCAGUGAGGAAGAACGCCUGGUGGUUAAUACCCAUCAGGAAAGACAUCACUCACAGAAGAAGCACCGGCUAACUCCGUGCCAGCAGCCGCGGUAAUACGGAGGGUGCGAGCGUUAAUCGGAAUUACUGGGCGUAAAGCGCGCGUAGGUGGCUUGAUAAGCCGGUUGUGAAAGCCCCGGGCUCAACCUGGGAACGGCAUCCGGAACUGUCCAGCUAGAGUGCAGGAGAGGAAGGUAGAAUUCCCGGUGUAGCGGUGAAAUGCGUAGAGAUCGGGAGGAAUACCAGUGGCGAAGGCGGCCUUCUGGACUGAAACUGACACUGAGGUGCGAAAGCGUGGGUAGCAAACAGGAUUAGAUACCCCGGUAGUC